UUUGUAUUACGAGCGGAAAUUGUUACCAUUUUCGGCUCAAAAAUGGUAACAAUUUCCGCUCGUAAUACAAA
rnacentral:miRNA from 1 species